rnacentral:rRNA from 1 species
GAUGAACGCUGGCGGCGUGCUUAACACAUGCAAGUCGAACGGAGAGCUAAUGAUUGAGGAUUUGUCCAAAUGAUUUAGUUUCUUAGUGGCGGACGGGUGAGUAACGCGUGAGGAACCUGCCUUGGAGUGUGGAAUAACACAGUGAAAAUUGUGCUAAUACCGCAUAAUGCAGUUGGGUCGCAUGGCUCUGACUGCCAAAGAUUUAUCGCUCUGAGAUGGCCUCGCGUCUGAUUAGAUAGUUGGCGGGGUAACGGCCCACCAAGUCGACGAUCAGUAGCCGGACUGAGAGGUUGACCGGCCACAUUGGGACUGAGACACGGCCCAGACUCCUACGGGAGGCAGCAGUGGGGAAUAUUGCACAAUGGGGGAAACCCUGAUGCAGCGACGCCGCGUGGAGGAAGAAGGUCUUCGGAUUGUAAACUCCUGUUGUUGAGGAAGAUAAUGACGGUACUCAACAAGGAAGUGAC